UACGGAGGGGGCUAGCGUUGUUCGGAAUUACUGGGCGUAAAGGGCUCGUAGGCGGCCAACUAAGUCAGACGUGAAAUCCCUCGGCUUAACCGGGGAACUGCGUCUGAUACUGGAUGGCUUGAGUUUGGGAGAGGGAUGCGGAAUUCCAGGUGUAGCGGUGAAAUGCGUAGAUAUCUGGAGGAACACCGGUGGCGAAGGCGGCAUCCUGGACCAACACUGACGCUGAGUGAGCGAAAGCCAGGGGAGCAAACGGG
rnacentral:rRNA from 1 species